AUUGAUAAAUAUUACGAAUUUACGAGUGACAAGUUAAAUUGGUGUUUAUUACGUUUCUACCCUGUUCAGUGUUUCAAAGGAUUUUUCAUCAAAUAUUAACGACAUCCUUUGAAUGGUACGCCCACUAUCAGCAGCCUUAUAGUGUGCUUCAUAAAUAUGUCAACCCCUGAGAUGACAUUAUCCUUGGAAAUUGUGUUUUUGUUGUGGUUUUGUUCUCCACUUCUAUUCUUCGUUACCUUCAUGGUGUGAUAUUGUAUCAUCCUGGAAAAAGGAAUCUGGAAAUUGAUGAUUUCUAAUAUACAGCUGGUGUUCAGAUGAUGAGUUUAAUAUAUUUACAUUUUGGAAUGAACUUUCAAUUGGAAGUUGAGUGUUUUAUCAGAUUAUUGAAUCCUACUUUGAAAACCAAACUAUUUCCUUCUACAAAUGGAUUUUGAAGUAUUGUACAUAUGGUAUUAUGUACUCUAUGAUAUCUUCGCGAAGCCUUUAAUUGACGUUGUACUAAAAAAAUUCCCAUGGAAGGAAGUUCUUGCAGGAUCUUUUAUCGACCGUCUAUGUUAUGCAGUAAUUGGAUCUGCUGUUUAGUUAGAAACUUAAACUUCUCAGCUUAGAAUUUAUACGAAGAAUGAUAUUUGAUUGGAAAAAGUUCCUGGUUGAGACAAGAGAUCAAAAAAUGAUACUGAACAUUGGAAAGACGACCGGCAAUUUCAAGAUUCAUUUAUUUCCUUUCACAUUAUAGUAUUAUUAUAUUAAAAAAAAUUGAAUUGCAUAUCUGGGCUCCCUUCUUUUCUGUGGCCACGUUUCCCCUUGACUUAUGAUAAGCCCGUAGAGGAACUAAAAAAUAGUUUAAAUCAUCAAUUUUUUGUUUCUUCGUUUAAUCCAUGUUCUUUGAAUUUUCUUUUAUACUUUCUUUGUAUUUACACUGUACAUUUUCUACCUUUAAGAAAUGGAAUCUUAAUACUGCUGAUUUAUAAAUUCUGGUAUUGAGAAUUCCAGAGUGCCUUUGAAUUACCGCCGAUCACAAUCUUGUGAUUAGUAAUUUGAUGUUAUUUAUUCUUGAAUUUCAUGCUUACGAGAAUUGUACUUUCCUGCAGAAUGAUUUGGUAUACAAUCUUUGUGUACAUCGG
rnacentral:lncRNA from 1 species